rnacentral:rRNA from 1 species
UACGUAGGGGGCUAGCGUUGUCCGGAAUCAUUGGGCGUAAAGCGCGCGUAGGCGGGUUGGUAAGUCCGCUGUGAAAGCCCGGAGCUUAACUCCGGAGGGUCGGUGGAUACUGCCAGUCUUGAAGGUGCUAGGGGGAGAUGGAAUUACCGGUGUAGCGGUGAAAUGCGUAGAUAUCGGUAGGAACACCAGUGGCGAAGGCGGUCUCCUGGGGCAUUCUUGACGCUGAGGCGCGAAAGCCAGGGGAGCAAACGGG